GUCCACGCCCUAAACUAUGUCAACUAGUUGUCGGGGAAGCAAUUCCUUGGUAACGAAGCUAACGCGUGAAGUUGACCGCCUGGGGAGUACGGUCGCAAGAUUAAAACUCAAAGGAAUUGACGGGGCCGCACAAGCGGUGGAUGAUGUGGAUUAAUUUCGAUGCAACGCGAAAACCUUAACCUACCCUUGACAUGCCCGGAAGCCCGAUGAGAGUUGGGCGUGCUCGAAAGAGAGCCGGGACGACAGGUGCUGCAUGGCUGUCGU
rnacentral:rRNA from 1 species